rnacentral:rRNA from 1 species
CAGGNAAGACUGCCCUAUGGGUUGUAAACUGCUUUUAUACAGGAAGAAAAAGGUGUACGNGUACACUGUUGACGGUACUGUAAGAAUAAGGAUCGGCUAACUCCGUGCCAGCAGCCGCGGUAAUACGGAGGAUCCAAGCGUUAUCCGGAAUCAUUGGGUUUAAAGGGUCCGUAGGCGGGAUGAUAAGUCANUGGUGAAAGUCUGCAGCUCAACUGUANAAUUGCCAUUGAUACUGUUGUUCUUGAGUUAUUGUGAAGUGGUUAGAAUGAGUAGUGUAGCGGUGAAAUGCAUAGAUAUUACUCAGAAUACCGAUUGCGAAGGCAGAUCACUAACAAUGAACUGACGCUGAUGGACGAAAGCGUAUGUAGCGAACAGGAUUAGAUACCCUGGUAGUCUACGCCGUAAACGAUGGUUACUAUGCUGUUCGGNCUAAUUGAGNNCUGAGUGGCUAAGCGAAAGUGAUAAGUAACCCACCUGGGGAGUACGUNGNCAAGAAUGAA